rnacentral:rRNA from 1 species
GACGAACGCUGGCGGCGUGCUUAACACAUGCAAGUCGAACGGAAAGGCCCUGCUUUUGUUGGGUGCUCGAUUGGCGAACGGGUGAGUAACACGUGAGUAACCUGCCCUUGACUUUGGGAUAACUUCAGGAAACUGGGGCUAAUACCGGAUAGGAUCUCCUGCUGCAUGGUGGGGGUUGGAAAGUUUCGGCGGUUGGGGAUGGACUCGCGGCUUAUCAGCUUGUUGGUGGGGUAGUGGCUUACCAAGGCUUUGACGGGUAGCCGGCCUGAGAGGGUGACCGGCCACAUUGGGACUGAGAUACGGCCCAGACUCCUACGGGAGGCAGCAGUGGGGAAUAUUGCACAAUGGGCGGAAGCCUGAUGCAGCAACGUCGCGUGCGGGAUGACGGCCUUCGGGUUGUAAACCGCUUUCGCCUGUGACGAAGCGUGAGUGACGGUACUGGGUAAAGAAGCACCGGCUAACUACGUG